GACGAGGUGGUGCAUGGUUGUCGUCAGCUCGUGUCGUGAGAUGUUGGGUUAAGUCCCGCAACGAGCGCAACCCUUAUUGCUAGUUACCAUCAUUAAGUUGGGGACUCUAGCGAGACUGCCAGUGAUAAACUGGAGAAGGUGGGGAUGACGUCAAAUCAUCAUGCCCCUUAUGACCUGGGCUACAAACGUGAUACAAUGGCUGAAACAAAGGGCAGCGAAGCAGUGAUGUGAAGCGAACCCAAAAAAGCAGUCUCAGUUCGGAUUGAAGUCUGCAACUCGACUUCAUGAAGUCGGAAUCGCUAGUAAUCGCGAAUCAGAACGUCGCGGUGAAUACGUUCUCGGGUUU
rnacentral:rRNA from 1 species